rnacentral:rRNA from 1 species
GAUGAACGCUGGCGGCGUGCCUAAUACAUGCAAGUAGAACGCUGAAGCUUGGUGCUUGCACCGAGCGGAUGAGUUGCGAACGGGUGAGUAACGCGUAGGUAACCUGCCUCUUAGCGGGGGAUAACUAUUGGAAACGAUAGCUAAUACCGCAUAAAAGACGAUAUCGCAUGAUAUUGAUUUGAAAGGUGCAAAUGCAUCACUAAGAGAUGGACCUGCGUUGUAUUAGCUAGUUGGUGAGGUAACGGCUCACCAAGGCAACGAUACAUAGCCGACCUGAGAGGGUGAUCGGCCACACUGGGACUGAGACACGGCCCAGACUCCUACGGGAGGCAGCAGUAGGGAAUCUUCGGCAAUGGGGGCAACCCUGACCGAGCAACGCCGCGUGAGUGAAGAAGGUUUUCGGAUCGUAAAGCUCUGUUGUAAGAGAAGAACGAGUGUGAGAGUGGAAAGUUCACACUGUGACGGUAACUACCAGA